rnacentral:tRNA from 1 species
UGGGCCUUUAGCUCAGUUGGUAGAGCUACGGACUUUUAAUCCGCAGGUCGUGGGUUCGAUCCCCACAGGGCCCACAAC